UACGGAGGGUGCAAGCGUUAUCCGGAUUCACUGGGUUUAAAGGGUGCGUAGGUGGGUCUGUAAGUCAGUGGUGAAAUCUCCGAGCUUAACUCGGAAACUGCCAUUGAUACUAUAGGUCUUGAAUUAUCUGGAGGUGAGCGGGAUAUGUCAUGUAGCGGUGAAAUGCUUAGAUAUGACAUAGAACACCAAUUGCGAAGGCAGCUCACUACGGAUAUAUUGACACUGAGGCACGGAAAGCGUGGGGAUCAAACAGG
rnacentral:rRNA from 1 species